rnacentral:tRNA from 1 species
GUCCCCUUCAGAGAGGCCGGGACACCGCCCUUUCACGGCGGUAACAGGGGUUCGAAUCCCCUAGGGGACGCCA